rnacentral:rRNA from 1 species
UACAUGGGGGGCAAGCGUUAUUCGGAAUUAUUGGGCGUAAAGGGCGCGUAGGCGGCUUGGCAAGUGGAUGGUGAAAUCCCUCGGCUUAACCGAGGAACUGCCGUCCAAACUGCUUUGCUUGAGACCGGGAGAGGUGAGUGGAAUUCCCAGUGUAGCGGUGAAAUGCGUAGAUAUUGGGAGGAACACCAGUGGCGAAGGCGGCUCACUGGACCGGUACUGACGCUGAUGCGCGAAAGCGUGGGGAGCAAACGGG